AGUAAUUUUAUCACUGAGGGUGCCAACAGAGCCUAAGUUUUUUAUUUUGUAGUUUAUUUUUUAGUGGCUGGAUGCUUAUCUUGAGGAACAAAAUGAGAAAACAGUAGCAUUCUUUAUUAUUCUGUAUACUGAAGGAUGGGAUCUUGCUGAAAAUGCACCAGUGGAAGCCUGACUGCAAGACUGAGGCUGAAGGGGAAUUACAGUUGCAGAAUGGCUGAGGCUGACAGGUCCUCUGGCCUAAUCCUGGACUCAGGCCCAUGUCCAGGCAGCUGCUGAAGGGGGAGCAGAACCCACACACAGCUUCUGGGCAGCCUGAGAAAAUACUCCAUCACCUGCACAGUACAGAAGUGCUCCUUGGAGGAAACCUCCUGAGCUCCAGCUUGUGCAAACUGCAUCAUGUUUGGUGGCGCCCAGUGCCAGGAGAGCACCUGCCUCUGUCUUCUAUUGAGCUAUCCCUUCAGAUAUCUAUAGACAUUAAUGAGAACCCUUUGAGCUUCCUCCAGGAUGAAUAGAUCUCUUUUUACAGGAUCUCCGCAUAGUAGAGAUGCUUCAAUACCUUAAUCAUCAU